GCCCGGGUAGCUCAGUUGGUAGAGCAUGCGACUGAAAAUCGCAGUGUCACUGGUUCGAUUCCAGUCCCGGGCACCA
rnacentral:tRNA from 6 species